rnacentral:rRNA from 1 species
UUAACAGGAUUAGAUACCCUGGUAGUCCACGCCGUAAACGAUGUCGACUUGGAGGUUGUGCCCUUGAGGCGUGGCUUCCGGAGCUAACGCGUUAAGUCGACCGCCUGGGGAGUACGGCCGCAAGGUUAAAACUCAAAUGAAUUGACGGGGGCCCGCAUAAGCGGUGGAGCAUGUGGUUUAAUUCGAUGCAACGCGAAGAACCUUACCUGGUCUUGACAUCCACGGAAGUUUUCAGAGAUGAGAAUGUGCCUUCGGGAACCGUGAGACAGGUGCUGCAUGGCUGUCGUCAGCUCGUGUUGUGAAAUGUUGGGUUAAGUCCCGCAACGAGCGCAACCCUUAUCCUUUGUUGCCAGCGGUCCGGCCGGGAACUCAAAGGAGACUGCCAGUGAUAAACUGGAGGAAGGUGGGGAUGACGUCAAGUCAUCAUGGCCCUUACGACCAGGGCUACACACGUGCUACAAUGGCGCAUACAAAGAGAAGCGACCUCGCGAGAGCAAGCGGACCUCAUAAAGUGCGUCGUAGUCCGGAUUGGAGUCUGCAACUCGACUCCAUGAAGUCGGAAUCGCUA